rnacentral:rRNA from 1 species
UACGGAGGGAGCUAGCGUUGUUCGGAAUUACUGGGCGUAAAGCGCACGUAGGCGGCUACUCAAGUCAGAGGUGAAAGCCCGGGGCUCAACCCCGGAACUGCCUUUGAAACUAGGUAGCUAGAAUCUUGGAGAGGUCAGUGGAAUUCCGAGUGUAGAGGUGAAAUUCGUAGAUAUUCGGAAGAACACCAGUGGCGAAGGCGACUGACUGGACAAGUAUUGACGCUGAGGCGCGAAAGCGUGGGGAGCAAACAGG